GGUGGCCCCGCGGAUCCCGCCCUCAGGCUCUGCGUUUGCGAGUGGCCACGGGACACAGACUUCCGGAGCUGUGGAAGCCUUGCCGGGCACUGCGGAUCUAGAGAUGGAUUCGGGGGUCCCUGCCCCGGGGCCCAGUGCUGCCGAGGAGGCAGACUGCAGCCCCCUCCCCGGGCCGCUGUGCCUCUGUGGGACACCCACUGCACGAGGCCAGGCCGGGGCUCAGAGCAUCGGGCACCACGGUCCCCGCCUCCCAGAGCCUCAGCCAGCAGGACGUGGACGAGGAAGGAGCACAGACAGCGUGCUGUGGCUGGUGGGGCGGUAGAGCGCUGGGGUCCUUGGGGAGCCGUGCAGGGCCCAGCGCCUCGGGGAUGGCGGCCUGGUGGCUCCCGCCUGCUGGCGGCAUCCAGUUCCAGAAGCAGCUUCCGAAUGUGGCUUCACCUCUGACAGCGUUUCUGAGCCGCGUUCCCGGCCGCCUCAUCCCUUGGGAGGUGAGCAGGCGACGCUCGAGUCCGCAGCACCGCGCUCGGGCCCUCUCCGGAGACCUCAGUGGAGCCCUCGCUGUACCUGCCCAUGGCCACUGACUAAAACAUGGGAUAAAGGAAGAGCGAGAAUGGUGACACCUUGGGACUCCAAGGGUCAGUUAUUUCCAAUCAGAGGACCACGGAAGCCUGCCUGGAGGUGGUGACAUCUGGACCAAGUCUAAAGGGUGAAUCUACACAGAACAGGGCAGCCAGAGGUCGCACCUCAGCCAUGCGGGGGGCGGCGGGAGCCUGGACCGGCCACCACGGAGCAGACAGGAGCGAGUGUCGGCAAGUGGUUCAACAGGUGCAGCAUCCGCUCAGAGAGAGGGGAUCACGGAGACCAUUUCAGAGACGGCCUGCCACAAAUACUUUUAUCUCUUCCCACGUGCUUGCUAGUUGCGAUGACGUGGCCAUCAGUAAUGAGGACUUGAGCACAAUUAGUUCAUUGCCACCAAAGUUGUAUUUUUUUAGUUUAUCUGUGAAACUGAAAUCAGUUUAUAAAUGAAUGAGCUUAAGUGGGGAACUGUGGAAAGACGAGCACAGCCGGGCAUUGCUUUGUGAUGGGGUGCGUCCUGAGAAACGUGCUUCAGCCGAUGUUGUCGUGCGUACAGCAUAGUGUGUCCUGAAGGGGAGCAAAAUUCGCCACCUCAAAAUGCGUCUCUUUCACAUGUGGAUUAUUUUAGGCUGAUCAUUUUUAAGAAACAAAAGACUAAGUUUUUCUCGUUACCUCCCCUUAACUGCCUAAAAGGAUUCAGAUAAAAAACCUGUCUCAGGAAGCCAGCUGUCACCUUGGCAUAAGUGAACGAGGUGGCAGACGGGGAGGAACCUAGAAAAGCCCGUUUGUUGGGCUCCCCUCUGUGUUCUUCUGUUUCUGUGCGGCCAAACGCUUGUUUUCCAAACGUUUGCUUCUUUUCCUGCCUGUGAAUUGCCUUCCUUCCCUUUGAAGUCUCUGACUCUCCCCACGCCCAACACCUUCUUUUGUCUUUAACUAAGGAUGAUAUUUAAGGUGAGGGCUCUGGGC
rnacentral:lncRNA from 1 species